rnacentral:misc_RNA from 1 species
GAAAUUAAUAAAAAAUUACUCUUUUAAGUAUAUGUGCAAUGCAAUAUUUUUAAUUUUGUUCUAUAAUUAUCCCCCAUCAGCAUGGUUUGGCAGGAGUACUCUUUUGUUCCCAUAUACUCCAAUCUUUUUACCAAUAUUGCACAUUAUGAACACCAACUUUUAUACAUACAAAUCUUAAUCAAUAUUCUAAGUUCAGCUUCCAACAUUUUUAUGAGGAGCAGAAACAAAAAGCAAAGAAAAACAAGAUUAUAUUGAACUUGAACUUUGCCAGUAAAAGGAAAAGAAAAUUACUAUUCAUAGGACGAAAGAGGAGUAUGUUUAAAAUCAAAACGAUAAAGGGAAAAAAGAAGAAGAAAGAGAGACAUGGUAGCCUUGCCCCUGGCUUUGGCUGUGCACCCCCAAUUCAAAAAACGCUGGUGGUGAUUCACAAACAGCCAAAACCCAACCAACCAACCUUCCUCACCAGUCACACAGUAUUCAUGAAUAUUUUAAUUCUAACCCAAUAUAACUUUACUUCACCGGAGACGUAAAAG